CUGUAAGCGUAUACCAAAGUUGUUGCAGUUAAAACGCUCGUAGUCGGAAUUUGGCAGUUCCGGAUGUGUGCACGUCGUGUGCGCACUUCGCGGGGAUUGCUUUUGUGGUCUUGCGUAGGAUGAGGCACUUUUAUUAGUGAACGUCCUCACGCAACCACUUUUUACUGUGAGAAAAUCAGAGUGCUCAAAGCAGGCAUUUGCCGUGAAUGUAUUAGCAUGGAAUAAUAGAAUAGGACUUGGUUCUAUUUUGUUGGUUUGUUGGGACUGAGUAAUGAUUAAGAGGGACAGUUGGGGGCAUUUGUAUUUCGGUGCUAGAGGUGAAACUCUUAGAUUACCGAAAGACAAACUGCUGCGAAAGCGUCUGCCAAGGAUGUUUUCAUUGA
rnacentral:rRNA from 1 species